rnacentral:rRNA from 1 species
GAGUUUGAUCAUGGCUCAGAAUCAACGCUGGCGGCGCGCUUAACACAUGCAAGUCGAACGAGAAAGGGGAGCAAUCCCUGAGUACAGUGGCGUCCGGGUGAGUAACACGUGGGUAAUCUACCCUUUGGUGGGGAAUAACCCUGGGAAACCGGGGAUAAUACCGCAUAACUCCGAGAGGAGAAAGCCGAAAGGCGCCGAAGGAGGAGCCCGCGGCCGAUUAGCUAGUUGGUAGGGUAACGGCCUACCAAGGCCAAGAUCGGUAGCCGGCCUGAGAGGGCACACGGCCACACUGGCACUGAAACACGGGCCAGACUCCUACGGGAGGCAGCAGUGGGGAAUCUUGCGCUAAUGCGGGAAACCGUGACGCAGCGACACCGCGUGAGGGAAGAAGGCCUUCGGGUUGUAAACCUCUUUCAGGAGGGACGAAGCUACUCGGGUUAAUAGCCCAGAGGGUGGCGGUACCUCCAGAAGAAGCCCCGGCUAACUACGUGCCAGCCGCCGCGUAAUUC